GAGUUGUAAUGUAGGCUUAGAAGAAUGCAUGGUCUGUGCAGUUUUCUCACUUAGGAUGUGGAAGGUCAAUCAGGUUCCAGAAACCUUAAAGGAGGUUCUAUAUGGAUGAUAUGGCCCCUCAUCUGGCCUGGAAGAUCAAGUUUGAACAGUCUAGUCACAAGUGUAGCUCAGCAUCCCAGAAUGCAGUACUGGUGGAAAUCCUGUUAAAGUGCCCACACUUCUGUUUUAAUGCAGGAGAACAUCUGCUAGGAGUCCAUCUGUUUACAUCAGGGUUCCCUGGGGUUUGCAGAAAGCAUAGAGGUCCCUAGACUCCACCUUAUCUUCCCAGUGUAUAUAUGGGGGGAGGGUGGUUUGGAAGAAAAAAAUGGAGGAGAAAAAACUUGACAUUUUGUGAACUCCAUGGCAAUUCUGAUCUCAUUGCCUCAUUUUUUCCCUCCUCCCAGAUAAGACUUCCCUGGAUUCUAGGAUUCUUGAGUAGAUGAGUUCCAAGGAAGACUGUCUAAUUCUAGCAAUUCUAAACCCAUGGGUCAUCAAGUUUCCAUGCUGUGAUCUAAGGAUGAUCUCUGGCCAACAGCCAGUGAGGAACCAAGGCUCACACUCCGAAUUCUAUCAGCAACUAUAUGAGCUACUACAGAUAAAGCUGCUAUGAACAAUCAGGCACACAAUGCUAUGUGGGCAAAUUCUUUCAUUUCUCUGGGAUAAAUGUCCAGGAGUACAACUGCUGAGUUAUAUGAUUCCUCUCCACUGUGGGUUAGUACAAGAUACUGAAUAUAGUCCCCUGUGCUAUACAGUAGGUCCUUGUUUAUCUAUUUCAUAUAGUGUGUAUUUGUUAAUCCCAAACUCCUAAUUUACUCCCCACCACCGCCAUUUAUUUUUUAAAGAAUUGCCAAACUAUUUUUCCAGAGUGGCUAUACCAUAUUACAUUCCCACCAGGAAUAUGUAAGAGAUCCGUUUCUCAACAUCCUUGCCAGAAUUUAUAGUAUUGUUGCUAUUUUCAAUUUUAGAUUUUCUAAUAGGCAUGUGGUGGUUUCUCAUUGUGGUUUUAAUUUUGCUUUUAGCUAAUGGCUGGUGACACCGAAUAUCAUUUCAUGUACUAAUUUGCCAUCCAUAAAUUCUCUUUGGUGAAAUAUCUCUUCAUGCCUUUUGCCCAUUUUCUAAAUAUAAUGUUGUUGUUUUUAACUGCUGAGUUUUGGGUGCUUUAUAUAUUCUAGUUUAUGAGUUCUCUGUUAGAUUAUUGGGAUUUGUUGGAUUUCUGGUUGGGUGUGCAAAUAUUUUCUGCCAGUCUGUAGCCUGUCUUUUCAUCUGCUUAACAGGGUUUUAGCCGAGCAAAAGUUUUAUAUUAUGAUAAAGUCUAAUUUAUCCCUUAUUUCUUUUAUGAUCAUGCUUUUGGUGUCAUGUGUAAUGUGU